rnacentral:rRNA from 1 species
UACGGGGGGGGCAAGCGUUGUUCGGAAUUACUGGGCGUAAAGGGUGCGUAGGCGGCUUUCUAAGUUGGAUGUGAAAACUAUGGGCUCGACCCAUAGCCUGCAUCCAAAACUGGAGAGCUUGGGUUCUGGAGGGGAAAGCGGAAUUCCUGGUGUAGCGGUGAAAUGCGUAGAUAUCAGGAGGAACACCGGUGGCGAAGGCGGCUUUCUGGACAGAUACCGACGCUGAGGCACGAAAGCUAGGGGAGCAAACAGG